AGGGCGGUAGCUCAGAGGUGAGAGCGGCGGCCUUAUAAGCCGUGUGUCGUGGGUUCGAUUCCCACCCGCCCUA
rnacentral:tRNA from 2 species